rnacentral:lncRNA from 1 species
CUUCCUGCUCGUGCCACCAGGCCCCGGGGCCGCGACGCGUCUCUCCAGCCCGGGAUCCGGGGAGCUGGGCUGUCCCCAGACCGACGGGACAGCGGCAUCUCCUCCACCUGAAAAGGAAAGAGGACCAGUUUGCAGGACUCCGAACUGGGCCCGCGAGAUCUCCACCUGCGCAAAACGAAAGGGCGGAUUCUCCUUGGACUCACGAGGCAACCGCUCCCCGGGGUGAGAACGGGGGACUCAUUCCUCCGGCACUGGGAGAAGACGAUUCUUUAGGAGGAGGACAGGGAAGCGAAUGCUACCCAGAUGUCUCAGUAUACUGGCUCGCGGCACAUCGGGCAAAUGAACCUAUCAGAUAACAACGGCAGAUCAGAUGCCUGAGCAUUCAGAAGCAACAGCUGUGGAGCCCCCGUGGGUUCAGAAGGCCUGGUUCCCGUCUCCAGAAGCCUGGCUCUCCUCCCUCCUGGGCCCACUACUUUGGCUUCUUGUUCCUACGUACAAGGAGUUGCGAAGAAGGCAACUCUUCCCCUCCCUGAAGCCAAAGGAAUGAAACAGACUAGGGCGGGAGAGGUGGCCAUCCGUCAUUAGUUGCGGCCAUCAGUAACAGCAACAGGACACGGAACCUAAGGCUGUAUCCAUCCUGGGCCCCCAGGGAAACAUCAGCGGGAGCGGUACUAAGGAAGUGCUCAUCUCUUAGAGACAAAGGCCCAUGGAGGGGAACAGUAACCAUCCCCUCCCAAUUCAGAAAAUGUUAACAUAAGCACUUCAUUUCUCAUGCAGAUAACCACAUAAGUCUAUUAAUAAGAAAGAAAGAGAAAGAAAAAAAAGAAAAAGGAAUCCAUGCCAGCAGGGUAUAGGAAUUGGUCUAUAGGAGAAAGGGUCACCCACUGAAAGGUGGGCUGAAUAGAAUUCCUUGCCUGGGCUUUGAGGUCCUGGCAUGGAGAAGGCUGUAGAAAUGCUGGCAUCAGUGGAACCCUCAAUAAACAGAAUUCUUGUUAAAGAA